CAGCAGCAGCCGCGGGAAUACGAAGGGUGCAAGCGUUACUCGGAAUUACUGGGCGUAAAGCGUGCGUAGGUGGUGGUUUAAGUCCGUUGUGGAAGCCCUGGGCUCAACCUGGGAAUUGCAGUGGAUACUGGAUCACUAGAGUGUGGUAGAGGAUAGUGGAAUUUCCGGUGUAGCAGUGAAAUGCGUAGAGAUCGGAAGGAACAUCUGUGGCGAAGGCGACUAUCUGGGCCAACACUGACACUGAGGCACGAAAGCGUGGGGAGCAAACAGGAUUAGAUACCCCAGUAGUCCCUGUCUCUUAUAC
rnacentral:rRNA from 1 species